rnacentral:rRNA from 1 species
GUGCACCAGGCGCGAAUACUUUACAAUGUGCGAAAGCACGAUAAGGGAACUCUGAGUGCCUCCUAAGGAGGCUGUUCAGGUGUCUAAAAGCACCUGGAGUAAGGGCUGGGUAAGACCGGUGCCAGCCGCCGCGGUAACACCGGCAGCCCAGGUGGUAGCCACUUUUAUUGGGUCUAAAGCGUCCGUAGCCGGUUGAGUAAGUUCCUUGGGAAAUUUGGCUGCUCAACAGUCAAGCUUCCAGGGAAUACUGCUCGACUUGGGACUGGGAGAGGUCAGAGGUACUCCAGGGGUAGGGGUGAAAAUCCAUUAAUCCCUGGGGGACCACCGGUAGCGAAGGCGUCUGACCAGACCAGGUCCGACGGUGAGGGACGAAGGCUAGGGUCGCGAACCGGAUUAGAUACCCCUGUAGU